UACGGAGGGUGCGAGCGUUGUCCGGAAUCACUGGGCGUAAAGGGCGCGUAGGCGGCGCGGCAAGUCUGUGGUGAAAGCCCGAGCUCAACUUCGGGUCGGCCAUGGAUACUGCUGCGCUCGAGCACUGUAAAGGCAGGUGGAAUUCCGGGUGUAGCGGUGGAAUGCGUAGAGAUCCGGAAGAACACCCGUGGCGAAGGCGGCUCUCUGGGACGGUACUGACGCUGAGACGCGAAAGCGUGGGGAGCGAACAGG
rnacentral:rRNA from 1 species